AUGGGCUCAAUAAAGGACAGAAAUGGUAUAGACCUAACAGAAGCAGAAGAUAUUAAUAAGAGGUGGCAAGAAUACACAGAAGAACUGUACAAAAAGGAUCUUCACGACCAAGAUAAUCACGAUGAUGUGAUGACUCACCUAGAGCCAGACAUCCUGGAAUGUGAAGUCAAGUGGGCCUUAGAAAGCAUCACUAUGAACAAAGCUAGUGGAGGUGAUGGCAUUCCAGUUGAGAUAUUUCAAAUCCUGAAAGAUGAUGCGGUGAAAGUGCUGCACUCAAUAUGCCAGCAAAUUUGGAAAACUCAGCAGUGGCCACAGGACUGGAAAAGGUCAGUUUUCAUUCCAAUCCCAAAGAAAGGCAAUGCCAAAGAAUGCUCAAACUACCACACAAUGGCACUCAUCUUACAUGUUAGUAAAGUAAUGCUCAAAAUUCUCCAAGCCAGGCUUCAGCAAUGUGUGAACCGGGAACUUCCUGAUGUUCAAGCUGGUCUUAGAAAGGGCAGAGGAACCAGAGAUCAAAUUGCCAACAUCCGUUGGAUCAUGGAAAAAGCAAGAGAGUUCCAGAAAAACAUCUAUUUCUGCUUUAUUGACUAUGCCAAAGCCUUUGACUGUGUUGAUCACAAUAAACUGUGGAAAAUUCUGAAAGAGAUGGGAAUACCAGACCACCUGACCUGCCUCUUGAGAAACCUAUAUGCAGGUCAGGAAGCAACAGUUAGAACUGGACAUGGAACAACACACUGGUUCCAAAUAGGAAAAGGAGUACAUCAAGGCUGUACAUUGUCACCCUGCUUAUUUAACUUAUAUGCAGAGUACAUCAUGAGAAAGGCUGGGCUUGAAGAAGCACAAGCUGGAAUCAAGAUUUCUGGGAGAAAUAUCAAUAACCUCAGAUAUGCAGAUGACACCACCGUUAUGGCAGAAAGUGAAGAGGAAUUAAAAAGCCUCUUCAGGAAAGUGAAAGUGGAGAGUGAAAAAGUUGGCUUAAAGCUCAACAUUCAGAAAAUGAAGAUCGUGGCCUCUGGUCCCAUCACUUCAUGGCAAAUAUAUGGAGAAACAGUGGAAACAGUGUCAGACUUUAUUUGUUUGGGCUCCAAAAUCACUGCAGAUGGUGACUUCAGCCAUGAAAUUAAAAGACGCUUACUCCUUGGAAGGAAAGUUAUGACCAACCUAGAUAGCAUAUUCAAAAGCAGAGACAUUACUUUGCCAACAAAGGUCCAUCUAGUCAAGGCUAUGGUUUUUCCAGUGGUCUUGUAUGGAUGUGACAGUUGGACUGUGAAGAAAGCUGAGCACCGAAGAAUAGAUGCUUUUGAACUGUGGUGUUGGAGAAGACUCUUGAGAGUCCCUUGGACUGCAAGGAGAUCCAACCAGUCCAUUCUAAAGGAGAUCAGCCCUGGGAUUUCUUUGGAAGGAAUGAUGCUAAAGCUGAAACUCCAGUACUUUGGCCAGCUCAUGCGAAGAGUUGACUCAUUGGAAAACACCUGA
rnacentral:lncRNA from 1 species